rnacentral:rRNA from 1 species
UUGAACGCUGGCGGAAUGCUUUACACAUGCAAGUCGAGCGGCAGCGCGGGGGCAACCCUGGCGGCGAGCGGCGAACGGGUGAGUAACAUAUCGGAACGUACCCUAUCGUGGGGGAUAACACAUCGAAAGAUGUGCUAAUACCGCAUACGACCUGAGGGUGAAAGCAGGGGAUCGCAAGACCUUGCGCGACAGGAGCGGCCGAUAUCGGAUUAGCUAGUUGGUGAGGUAAGGGCUCACCAAGGCGACGAUCCGUAGCUGGUCUGAGAGGACGACCAGCCACACUGGAACUGAGACACGGUCCAGACUCCUACGGGAAGCAGCAGGGGGGAAUUUUGGACAAUGGGGGCAACCCUGAUCCAGCCAUUCCGCGUGAGUGAAGAAGGCCUUCGGGUUGUAAAACUCUUUCGGCAGGAACGAAACGGUGAGCUCUAACAUAGCUUGCUAAUGACGGUACCUGAAGAAGAAGCACCGGCUAACUACGU